rnacentral:tRNA from 1 species
GUUGUGGCUCAAUGGUAGAGUGCUCGCCUAGUGUGUAUAAGGCACUGGGUUCGAUCCUCAGCACAACA